GAUGAACGCUGACAGAAUGCUUAACACAUGCAAGUCAUUGGCGAAGCUGCGCUUGCGCAGUCUAGCCAAGGCGGACGGGUGAGUAACGCGUAAGGAACUUGCCCUGCAGACAGGGAUAACAGACGGAAACGACUGAUAACACCUGGUAUUGUCAGGCUGGCGCAUGCCGGCCUGAUGAAAGGAGACGCUGCAGGAGAGCCUUGCGUCCUAUUAGCUAGUUGGUGGGGUAACGGCCCACCAAGGCGAUGAUAGGUAGCCGGCCUGAGAGGGUGAACGGCCACAAGGGGACUGAGAUACGGCCCUUACUCCUACGGGAGGCGGCAGUGGGGAAUAUUGGACAAUGGGGGCAACCCUGAUCCAGCAAUUCUGUGUGCACGAAGAAGGUUUUCGGAUUGUAAAGUGCUUUCAGCAGGGAAGAAGAAAGUGACGGUACCUGCAGAAGAAGCGACGGCUAAAUACGUG
rnacentral:rRNA from 1 species